rnacentral:rRNA from 1 species
AUUGAGCGCUGGCGGCAGGCUUAACACAUGUAAGUCGAGCGGGGGAAGGUAGCUUGCUACCGGACCUAGCGGCGGCCGGGUGAGUAAUGCUUAGGAAUCUGCCUAUUAGUGGGGGACAACAUCUCGAAAGGGACGCUAAUACCGAAUAAGUCCUACGGGAGAAAGCAGGGGAACUGCGGACCUUGCGCUAGUAGAUGAGCCUAAGUCGGAGUAGCUAGUUGGUGGGGUAAAGGCCUACCAAGGCGACGAUCUGUAGCGGGUCUGAGAGGAUGAUCCGCCACACUGGGACUGAGACACGGCCCAGACUCCUACGGGAGGCAGCAGUGGGGAAUAUUGGACAAUGGGGGGAACCCUGAUCCAGCCAUGCCGCGUGUGUGAAGAAGGCCUUAUGGUUGUAAAGCACUUUAAGCGAGGAGGAGGCUACUCUAGUUAAUACCUAGGGAUAGUGGACGUUACUCGCAGAAUAAGCACCGGCUAACUCUGUGCCAGCAGCCGCCGUAA